UCUGCCUCACAUGUCAUCCAGCACCAGGUUGAAUUUGGGGUCCCUCAUGUGUGCAAUUCCUGACAGCACUGCAGAGCUCUACUCAUGCUCCUUGCACCACACUGGCAUUGCAGGCAGCAAGUAGCAGGUUGUUUGCCACGGGUGACUGAUUUUAGCCAUAUAUUUAUCUGCUUCAGCCUUGCGUGUUGAUUCCCAGCUACAUCCUGCUCUUAACAUCCCUUUUCGGAGGCACCAAAAAGAAGGAAAUCAUCCAAUUAGACUAACAGCUGCAGAGAUUGGAAUAAGCCUUGCAUGUGAGAAAAUUAAAGAAAAUGCAGCUGAGUACUAUGCAAAGCAGUGAAGGUCUGAUGGCUGUGAAAAGGGUUAACACUUCAACAUACUGAAGCAAAUUGAGCAUAUGGGAAGAACUGCAGCUGUAAAGCAUCAGCUAGCAAGAAAGCCUGGCCCAUCAGAGAGUCUGGGAUGUGACAAGUCAAAGCGUGAUGGAAACACUGCACUUCCACUGAAGAUCUCACAGCUGCAGUGCAGGGUUUGAGAGAGCUAUCCCCCAUGUAAUAUACUCAGUCUACAGCAGAAUUCAGGACAAGGUGGCUGUGUGAAUCCAGUUAUUUACUUACUCCUGAAAGCCCAGAAGAAAUGAAGAUCACACUGUGUUAGGCACCAGCCUGAGUGGAAAGUACAGAAUCCUCUGUGGAAGUGAAUGAAUAUCAUAUGAAGGAAGCGAGUGAGACAGUCACAGGAACGAAGGACAGCUGAGGUAGGACAGCACCUCUGGAA
ensembl:lncRNA